AGAGUUUGAUCAUGGCUCAGAUUGAACGCUGGCGGCAUGCUUACACAUGCAAGUCGAGCGGCAGCGCGGGGGCAACCCUGGCGGCGAGCGGCGAACGGGUGAGUAAUGCAUCGGAACGUACCCUGGAGUGGGGGGAUAACGCCGCGAAAGCGGCGCUAAUACCGCAUAUGCUCUGAGGAGGAAAGUGGGGGACCGCAAGGCCUCACGCUCUGGGAGCGGCCGAUGUCCGAUUAGCUAGUUGGUGGGUAAAGGCUUACCAAGGCGACGAUCGGUAGCUGGUCUGAGAGGAUGAUCAGCCACACUGGGACUGAGACACGGCCCAGACUCCUACGGGAGGCAGCAGUGGGGAAUUUUGGACAAUGGGGGCAACCCUGAUCCAGCCAUGCCGCGUGAGUGAAGAAGGCCUUCGGGUUGUAAAGCUCUUUUGGUCGGGAAGAAAGCGCCUUGCCUAAUACGCGAGGUGGUUGACGGUACCGGCAGAAUAAGCACCGGCUAACUACGUG
rnacentral:rRNA from 1 species